GACGAACGCUGGCGGCGUGCUUAACACAUGCAAGUCGAACGGAAAGGCCCUGCUUUUGUGGGGUGCUCGAGUGGCGAACGGGUGAGUAACACGUGAGUAACCUGCCCUUGACUUUGGGAUAACUUCAGGAAACUGGGGCUAAUACCGGAUAGGAGCUCCUGCUGCAUGGUGGGGGUUGGAAAGUUUCGGCGGUUGGGGAUGGACUCGCGGCUUAUCAGCUUGUUGGUGGGGUAGUGGCUUACCAAGGCUUUGACGGGUAGCCGGCCUGAGAGGGUGACCGGCCACAUUGGGACUGAGAUACGGCCCAGACUCCUACGGGAGGCAGCAGUGGGGAAUAUUGCACAAUGGGCGGAAGCCUGAUGCAGCAACGCCGCGUGCGGGAUGACGGCCUUCGGGUGGUAAACCGCUUUCGCCUGUGACGAAGCGUGAGUGACGGGAUGGGUAAAGAAGCACCGGCUAACUACGUG
rnacentral:rRNA from 1 species